CAUGACCAGGGGCGCACCGAGGUGGGGGGAACCAGGCACGCCAGGUUGAGAAGGAGGCAAUACUGCGGCCAAAACGCUUUGAAUAAAACGAGCUGGGUCAGUUAAGAUGAGAAUCUUGCGUUAAAAGAAUAUUCAAGCUGUUAAACCAUAUUAAGAAACCCGAAAGCCGUUACGUGUAUUGUGAUGACCAUCGACAUCUUGACUGAAAGUGCUAAACAUGAGACUUGCGCGAGUCCUGUAGUGUAAAGCCGGCUUGACCUGUGUGGUGUGCUCUCUUUCCAGGUUUAGACUAUGUCAAGAUCGUCGUCUGCUGAUGCACGUGGCGCUAUACCCGCAACCCCCCCUUCGAACCGCCCACUGUAGUCUACGGCGGAUUGCGUUGCGUUCGCCAUGAGGCUUCACGGAAGCGACUCUUGCGGAAGUGUCCGUAAUUUUUAAACCAUUCGAUGGCUUCGAAACACACGUCCUCAUCCUUGGGCUGAUGUUGGCGCCUUUCUUUUGAUUAUUAUUUUGUUGUCAUGUUUGUUUUACUAUUCAGAAUUCUACUGUUUGCAGUUUACUGGUGAAGGUGCCUCAUCUACUUAAACAAAACGUCAAUCGACAAAAAUAACUAUUUUCUGCUUUUCGGUCAUUAUUUUAUAUAGACUAAGAAAACUGUGACUUAAUUUGUUCGUCAGUUAAAUAACCGAUUUGUGUGAGACAAUUUAUUCGUAGGGUUUUCUGUUUGUUCUUUUUCAAAAUGCUAUGAAUUGUUUCUAGUCACAGGAAUCAUGCCGUUGUAGUGGCGUUGUAAUCAUAGCGCUUGUCACAGAUUGUUCAACUUUAACAGUCCAUAUAUUUGCGACGCAUGACGAAUCACAUUUCCACUGUUGUUCUAAAAUUAUAAUUUUUUACUUUUGCGGACAUUGAUUCUUUAAUACAUCUAGCAACGACAUGUAUGAUUUUAUUUUCCUCAGACCUCUUUUCAUUUUCAAGUCUUUUAAAUAAACACAUGUUACCAACAAAGAAUUCGGCGUUCCUACUCGCAUCAUUGCAUCGAUCAUAGGUGAGGCCUUCUAGUCCAAGUUUCAUUUUUUAACUAUCCUUAAUUUCGUAACUAAACCUUGUUUCAAUUUAAGCAAUUGAGCCGUAAUUGCUAGCUCCGAUAUGGUCGCGUGUUGCUUCGACAACUGUUAAUAAACAAAAAAUGAUGUACAUGUAUCAAUUGUGUAAUUCCCAUCAUGCAUAUUUCUCACGCAUUUGCCAUUGACCUUUGCUUCCCCUUCUCACUGCACUUAACCCUUCACCCCAUUGUUUGGCGCUACCUACUCUGGUAUCCUCAGUGUUUGUGCUCUUUGUAGGUUACCAUACCCCUCGCCCCCUGCACAGGGGUUGACGUAACGCUAUGCCAGGAGUCGGCGCUACACGGUAAGUGUCCAUCAGGAGACCCCUCUGACAGGAUGAGCUGGGUAGGUGCUACAUCAAAAUGACCUAUCUGUGACAUCCCGCGCACAUCCCGUCCUCUUGUUUAAACUGUCUGUCUGUACCCUGAUCUCUCACCGCAGGGGAGCCGUCGUGGGAAGGCAGCGGUGGCUUGCGGCCAGCUGAACUGUAUUGGCUGAGCGGCAGUCAGGACCAGCGCUGAUGGGAAUCUACCUGUAGGCUUCAAAGGCAGCCGAUACGGUCUUACUCCAUGGAAAGGAUGUGAGGCUGACAGAUCAGAACCCCUACAUCAAAAACCAGUGUAGAUCAGUGAUGCAGUCAUGAAACUGAAACCAAACCAAGUCGUCAUCCCCCCCAGCCCACCCAUAAUGAAUGCAGAUGAAAAGGCACAGAUGCUGGUCAUGGUGGGUGUCUGUUCUGUCUGGGAAAAUGUACAGAUCCCCACACCCGAUGCCUAAAAGCACGUAAUAAACAUGUUUUUAUGAUUAGACCUAAAACACGUUGUUUUUUUUGGCCACAACUCUACUUACCAGCUAAAAAAAGGAAUUGCUCUGUUAGAUGUAUGUUUCUGAGCCUGCCUGGGAGGGGGUGAAGAAUUGUGGGGUGUCCAGAUUACACAGGCCGUUAGCGGAGACGGCCCGAGUGGAUGUCUCAGGUUCACUAAUUGGGGGCAGACGGGCCACUGUGACUGCCUGCUGCCUCUCAUCCAUGUCUGCCCCUGUGCAGACAUGGUGCUGUGCUGAGUACCAGUCUUCAGGCUACUCGGAUAAAAGAGGCCCUGCUGGGCCCCCGGUCAUGUCCUCAACUCAAGGAACGUGAAACUGGCCCCUCACUCGACCUCCCUGCUGAGGCCCAGCCCAGUGAUGAUGCACAUGAGAGGUCUGUCAUAUCUUGUAGAAGGAACAACCCUAAUUAUCUCUUGACCCGAAACUACUGUGGUGCACGUGGCAGAGUAACAUGUGAUAACAUAUCGUUGGAUAAAAAAAAAAAAGAUAAAUCAUUUAUUCUGAUCCAGA